GUGAAUCAUCAAAUCUUUGAACGCAUAUUGCGCUCUCUGGUAUUCCGUAGAGUAUGCCUGUCUGAGGGUAAUUAAAAAGAUUCUUUAACCAAUUUUUUUUGGUCAAAGUAAAUGAGUUUACCGCGUUUAUAGCGGUAGCUUGAAUUAAAUGGUCAAGUAUCAUUUUAGUCGAGACGCGUAAUAAUAUUAUUUCGCUAAAUCGUCAUUAUGUGACUAUCAAAUUUUGAUGCAUUUAAAUUU
rnacentral:misc_RNA from 1 species